GACGAACGCUGGCGGCGUGCUUAACACAUGCAAGUCGAACGGAAAGGCCCUGCUUUUGUGGGGUGCUCGAGUGGCGAACGGGUGAGUAACACGUGAGUAACCUGCCCUUGACUUUGGGAUAACUUCGGGAAACUGGGGCUAAUACCGGAUAGGAGCUCCUGCUGCAUGGUGGGGGUUGGAAAGUUUCGGCGGUUGGGGAUGGACUCGCGGCUUAUCAGCUUGUUGGUGGGGUAGUGGCUUACCAAGGCUUUGACGGGUAGCCGGCCUGAGAGGGUGACCGGCCACAUUGGGACUGAGAUACGGCCCAGACUCCUACGGGAGGCAGCAGUGGGGAAUAUUGCACAAUGGGCGGAAGCCUGAUGCAGCAACGCCGCGUGCGGGAUGACGGCCUUCGGGUUGUAAACCGCUUUCGCCUGUGAUGAAGCGUGAGUGACGGUAAUGGGUAAAGAAGCACCGGCUAACUACGUG
rnacentral:rRNA from 1 species